rnacentral:rRNA from 1 species
AUUAUUGAAUAAGAUUGGUUGGGUUGUUGCUGGCUCUCCGGAGCAUGUGCACGCCUAACACCAACUUUUACCACCUGUGCACCUUCUGUAGACCUGGAUAAACUCUCRAGGAAACUCGGUUUGAGGACUGCUGUGCGCAAGCCGGCUCUCCUUGUACUUCCGGUCUAUGUUUUUAUUAUAUACCCCUACCAGUAUGUCUCAGAAUGUUUGUUGUUGGGCUUGAAUGCCUUUAAACUUAAUACAACUUUCAACAACGGAUCUCUUGGCUCUCGCAUCGAUGAAGAACGCAGCGAAAUGCGAUAAGUAAUGUGAAUUGCAGAAUUCAGUGAAUCAUCGAAUCUUUGAACGCACCUUGCGCUCCUUGGUAUUCCGAGGAGCAUGCCUGUUUGAGUGUCAUGAAAUUCUCAACCUUUUCAACUUUUUCUGUUGAUCAGGCUUGGAUGUGGGAGUAUGCGGGCUUCUCAGAAGUCGGCUCUCCUGAAAUGCAUUAGCGGGACUUUUGUUGCCUGGCUUUGGUGUGAUAAUUAUCUACGCCAUUGUGAAGAGCAGCUU